rnacentral:rRNA from 1 species
AAGAAGGCCUUCGGGUUGUAAAGCACUUUUAUCAGGAGCGAAACGCUGUCGGCUAAUACCCGGCGGAACUGACGGUACCUGAGGAAUAAGCACCGGCUAACUUCGUG